rnacentral:misc_RNA from 1 species
AAGACGGUUAUCUUUAUCGCGCCGAUUUUGCCCAAUGCAUAGGUAUGAGAGAUUCCAGGGAGUUUGCUCUUGAACUCUUCGAUGCAUUGGGUAGGAGACGGAGAUUGAAAGUGGACAAGAUUAACAGAGACGAGCUUUACGAGUUUUGGUCACAAAUCACCGAUCAAAGCUUCGAUUCUCGUCUCCAGAUCUUCUUCGACAUGGUGGAC